AGAAAACCUGAUGAAUUUGCAAUAAUUGAAGUUCAAAAUGGAGUUUCAAUGAGCAUUUUAGAAAUUUUAUCACGGACCAUUUUAGAUUGAAUUUCUAAAUCAUCCUCAGAUCAAAAGAACAACAAUUGUUAUCAAUGGCAGUCGUUUAAUGUCGAAAACCUCAACUCAAGCUUAAAAAAGAUAAACAAGUAAAAAAUUAGUUUUCGGCAUAUUUUUUGAGAUUUGGAGUUCAAGAGUCUCGAUUGGAUCAAAAAUACCAAUAAAAGAUGUUGAUACUCAAAAAAUAUUGAAAAUUAAGAAGCAGGAUCAAUAAAAAAAAUAUUUUAAUAAAUAAAC